GAUACUAUACUACACUGAAAUGUUAAAACGUUUAUUUGAUCGUCCUUGAAUCUCCUCCACACAUGCCAUCCUCUCUUGCCACACCAAUGUGGCGCACUACACCCUUUGAGAACCGCUGUCUUAGAGGAAUGUGGCCUUAGAAGCUUUCUCUUUACGACUUUAAAACAUCAUGUAGGACAAUGAAAAUCUGUCUUACCCCCCUCUGUUUAUUUUGACAUAGGACAUCUUCCCUGGCAAACUGUUUUUCAUUUGUUACACUUGGCGAAAAUAUUCAAUCUCUUUUGGAAGCACCCAGUCCAGUGUUUGAGUAUUUGGUAGAGUAUAUUUGGGGAAUAAGUUCCCUGGUUACUGUUGUACUGUACAUUUUAGGAACAAAAUGAGACAACUAUGUAAUUAAACACACUGAGCUGGCAGUCCAUAAAGGAGCAGGUGGAGAUCAGUAGCUUUAGUCACAUAACUUGGCUGGUGUUUUUAAAAAAAAUGCUUUGUAGUAGUCUUGUGGGCCAACUUAUGCAGAUGUAAGCUACGCAAAGAAGAGAGCACCACCUGUACAAUCUUUCUUUACUUUGCCAGUAGCGUUUGUUAUACAUGUAAACAAAUGAACUGUAUUACAAGUCCAGUAACAGAAUGCUAUCAUGCUAGGAGCAGCAACAAAAUAACUCUGCGUAUACUGGGAUUUCUUAACUUUUUAUCUUUGGCUCUGGAAUAUCAACUUCCCUUUCAAACAAUAUUGCACAUAUAAUUUACAGCCUAAUCUUUUUGAUCCAGUUUAGCUACAGCAGCACAAACGAUGGGUUGGAUCCAAAGAGGCAUGAGGAAAAGAGAAACAGCAGCUCCAUAAAAGCUUGAGCAAGAAUCCACACACAACAUUAUUCAAGGCAACUUGUGAUGCUCAAUGAUGCCACCCCUGCCCCUCUCAGGAGCCACUGAGAGAAGAGGACCCAUUGUGGACAAUGUUCUGUAUUCAGUGGCCUGUGUUUCCCUGAGCUUCAGUCUGGACUAAGGAUUCUGAGCUCCUAUGUUCUGAUUCGAUAAAUGAUGUCCUGUCACAGAACAUUUCAGGAUUUGGGCCUCUGACAUUGGCCCUUGAACUCUGAGUUGUGAUUUGCAGCUUGGAAGUUUAGACAGCCAAUCAUGUUGGGAGUGGGAGUGGCCCAGGCUUUCAGGAAUGUAUAUAAGCAGUUGCUUUGCCCCUAUUUCCCAGUUAUGUAGUUCAAUAAAGGUUCUUGCUGUUA